AGAGUCUCGAGACUUCAAAUUAUGAGACCUGUGUUCCAGAACCACCACACUGAGCUGUAAUGCUUAGCAGUGCCUCAGAGCAGUGACACUUAGCUGUGACACUGAGCUGUAACACUUGGCCAUAGCACUGAGCUGCUCUGCUCUACCGCAAUAGUAUAACUCCUUCAUUGUUUCCACCCAAUUCUGUCUUCUGGUUGGGAUCUGACCCCACUAAUGGCUACUUCCAACCUUUAAAUGGCCUGCUUUGUGACAUCAUUCAACCACGAAACCUACUACUACCUGGAACAACCUUGGGGUUUGCAAGGAGCUGUCUGUAAAUAAGUUUGGAUCAUUACAAGUGACCUUCACACUUGGAGUCAACUCUUUGGCUUCAGUCACCCAGACAUUCUCUAGUACCUUCUCCUCAAGGAUUACAUGUACAAUUGAUGUUUGCUUUUCUCUGACUAUGUAAGUGAGAGGAAUUUCUCCAGAGCCAGAAACAUCCUUGGGACUGCAAGCCCGAAGUCCCACAUAGUGUCUGCCAAAACCUCCAGGAUUUCCCAUGCCCGGAGGUAGCAGAAGUAUCCAGACUCUUGAGAGGAGUCCACCCCAAGCCUGGGGAAAGUUUAAUGAAAGCUCCAGUACAGAGUUCUCAUCUCUUGGCACUGGUUCCAAGCCAGGAACAAUCAGAAACGAACAGGGAUGAGAUGGAAACCAAGCUUUCAAAGCCUCUGGAUGCCUACCAGAUCCUACCAGGCUGGCCUUGAACUUGAAGCCAUCUUCCUGCUUCUGCCUCUCAAGUGCUUGGAUUACAGGUGUGCACCACAUACCCAGCAGCCAUUUCUUUCUUACUGUCAUCUUCACUCCAUCAAGUUCUAGCAAUAAUACCUAAAUAUCUCUAGAAUAUGACCACAUCUUCCCACCAAAAUGGCCACAUCUUGGUCUAAGCUACUAUUAUGUUUCAAUUCCUACAAAAGCCUCUGAACUGAGCUUGUUUCUAUUUCAUUUCUUUGCACUGCAUUCUCCACUCAGUAGUAAAAUGAUAGGUUAAAAGUGCAAAUUUGAUUAUGUUCUACACAAUCACAC
rnacentral:lncRNA from 1 species